AGGUGCGAUCAUACUAGCAUUAAUGCAUCGGAUCCCAUCAGAAUUUUGCAAUUAAACGUGCUUGGAUGAGAGUAGUACUAGGAUGAGUGACCUCCUGGGAAGUCCUCAUGUUGCACCUC
rnacentral:rRNA from 1 species